UGGGGAAUUUUGGACAAUGGGGGAAACCCUGAUCCAGCCAUCCCGCGUGUGCGAUGAAGGCCUUCGGGUUGUAAAGCACUUUUGGCAGGAAAGAAACGUCAUGGGUUAAUACCCCGUGAAACUGACGGUACCUGCAGAAUAAGCACCGGCUAACUACGUGCCAGCAGCCGCGGUAAUACGUAGGGUGCAAGCGUUAAUCGGAAUUACUGGGCGUAAAGCGUGCGCAGGCGGUUCGGAAAGAAAGAUGUGAAAUCCCAGAGCUCAACUUUGGAACUGCAUUUUUAACUACCGGGCUAGAGUGUGUCAGAGGGAGGUGGAAUUCCGCGUGUAGCAGUGAUAUGCGUAGAUAUGCGGAGGAACACCGAUGGCGAAGGCAGCCUCCUGGGAUAACACUGACGCUCAUGCACGAAAGCGUGGGGAGCAAACAGG
rnacentral:rRNA from 1 species